rnacentral:lncRNA from 1 species
GCAGCCUUGGGGACGGGAUUUUGCUGAAUGGCCUCAUUAGCGAGGACGCCCUGGUGAACGUGGGCUUGAGCUCGGCACGUCCUCAGGGUAAGGAUAGUUACAGCAACUUCUUAUUUCCUUAUUGUUCUAAUGUUCUAAUUUUGCUUAUCUUUGCAGACAUCGCAAAAAUGGUGACCAAGAGCGAAGUCCUUUACGCCCGCUUCCAGAAGAGGGCAGCUGAGCUCUCGGGGGAGCCUGCGGAGCCGAGGAAGAAGCAGAAGGUCUCGGCAACCUCGACUCCCUCGGCGGCAGUGGUGGCCGAGGCGGG